rnacentral:rRNA from 1 species
CAAUAGCAUAUAUUAACGUUGUUGCAGUUGAAAAGCUCGUAGUUGAACUUUUGGUAGGAGCGACCUGGCCUUGGGCGCAUGCCCUUGUUUGCCGUGUGUCGUGUCUGGCCAUCCUUUUCCGCUUCGGCGGGAAUCUUUUACUGUGAGUAAACUGGAGUGCUCAAAACAAGACGUUUGUUUGGUACAUUAAAGCAUGGAAUAAUAAGAUAGGACCUGGUUACUAUUUUGUUGGUUUGCAUAGCUAGGUAAUGAUUAACAGGGACAGUUGGGGGUAUUCGUAUUUAAUUGUCAGAGGUGAAAUUCUUGGAUUUAUGAAAGACUAACUUCAGCGAAAGCAUCUGCCAAGGAUGUUUUCAUUA